UGGGGAAUUUUGGACAAUGGGCGAAAGCCUGAUCCAGCCAUGCCGCGUGAGUGAAGAAGGCCUUCGGGUUGUAAAGCUCUUUUAGUCGGAAAGAAAGAGUUGCAAUGAAUAAUUGUGAUUUAUGACGGUACCGACAGAAAAAGCACCGGCUAACUACGUGCCAGCAGCCGCGGUAAUACGUAGGGUGCGAGCGUUAAUCGGAAUUACUGGGCGUAAAGGGUGCGCAGGCGGUCUUGCAAGUCAGAUGUGAAAGCCCCGGGCUUAACCUGGGAAUUGCGUUUGAAACUACAAGGCUAGAGUGCAGCAGAGGGGAGUGGAAUUCCAUGUGUAGCAGUGAAAUGCGUAGAGAUGUGGAAGAACACCGAUGGCGAAGGCAGNCUCCCUGGGGUUNACGACUGACGC
rnacentral:rRNA from 1 species